AUUGUAGAUCUUUCAGCAAUUGAUCUUAGACUGGAAAUACUACUCAGUGCAAGACCAGGUGUGGUAUUUCAGGUGGUUGGAGUGGGGUAGGGGGCUAUUAAGAACUUUUCAGCCUCAUAGAAACAUCAACAUUUCUGUUCUGAUUUCAUCAUUGGAAAAGCUGUAAGUUCUGCUGCUCUCCAGCUCAAGCUUUACAUUUCAGCAGAAUUUGGAACUCAGAGCUGCAAAAGAGAAGCCUGCAUUUGACAAACAUCCAGGAGUGGAAGAAUGUCAGAUUCCUAAUAAGUGGAAAGAAGUAGUCAGUAAAGGAAGAACAAAAUCUCAUCAGGAGUUCAGUGUCGAGAGGUGCUCCAUUGUGUCAGUGCAUAAUAAGCAGUGAAUUGUAUAAAGAAUAGAAUGAGGGCCAGUUUGUAUGACUGAAAACAGAACAUCCUGAAAAUCAAAGAAAUCCUUGUGCAAAGUUUCCUCCCUUCUGCUAUCCAAGCAACUUUAUUUACUGCUAAGGCAGUCGCUCUCUCUCUCUCCUAAAACAUUUCCAAAGGAAGAUAUAAUCUCGAUUUUGAGUUUACCACUGAAAAGGCUACUGCAUCUCUCUUUAUAUACUGUAAAAUAAAAUGUAAAAUGUAAAAUGUG